rnacentral:tRNA from 1 species
GAGGGUAUAGCACAAUGGUAACGAGCAUGCUUAGCAUGCAUGAGGUCUUGGGUUCAAUCCCCAGUACCUCCU